AGACGAACCGUCCAAACGUUAUUCGGAAUUACUGGGCUUAAAGGGUGCGUAGGCGGCGCGGUAAGUUGGGUGUGAAAUCCCUCGGCUCAACCGAGGAAUGGCGCCCAAUACUGCCGUGCUCGAGGGAGACAGAGGUGAGCGGAACUGAUGGUGGAGCGGUGAAAUGCGUUGAUAUCAUCAGGAACACCAGUGGCGAAGGCGGCUCACUGGGUCUCUUCUGACGCUGAGGCACGAAAGCUAGGGGAGCAAACGGGAGUAGAAACCCCGGUAGUCC
rnacentral:rRNA from 1 species